rfam:Camelus ferus unplaced genomic scaffold scaffold1428, whole genome shotgun sequence.
GAGGGUAUAGCUCAGUGGUAGAGUGUGUGCUUAGCAUGCACAAGAUUCUGGAUUCAGUCCCCAGUACUUCCA